rnacentral:rRNA from 1 species
AGAGUGAACGCUGGCGGUAGGCCUAACACAUGCAAGUCGAACGGCAGCACAGUAAGAGCUUGCUCUUAUUGGUGGCGAGUGGCGGACGGGUGAGGAAUACAUCGGAAUCUACCUUUUCGUGGGGGAUAACGUAGGGAAACUUACGCUAAUACCGCACAAGACCUUCGGGUGAAAGCCGGGGACCUUCGGGCCUGGCGCGGAUAGAUGAGCCGAUGUCGGAUUAGCUUGGUUGGACGGGGUAAAAACCCACCAAGGCGACGAUCCGUAGCUGGUCUGAGAGGAUGAUCAGCCACACUGGAACUG